rnacentral:rRNA from 2 species
AAAUAACAAUGAUUUCCCUAGUAACGGCGAGUGAAGAGGAAAGAGCUCAAAGUUGGAAACUGUUUGGCUUAGCUAAACCGUAUUGUAAACUGUAGAAACAUUUUCCUGGCACACCAGAUUAAUAAGUCCUUUGGAACAAGGCAUCAUGGAGGGUGAGAAUCCCGUCUUUGAUCUGAGUAGUUGUCUUUUGUGAUAUGUUUUCAAAGAGUCAGGUUGUUUGGGAAUGCAGCCUAAAUUGGGUGGUAAAUCUCACCUAAAGCUAAAUAUUUGCGAGAGACCGAUAGCGAACAAGUACCGUGAGGGAAAGAUGAAAAGAACUUUGAAAAGAGAGUUAAACAGUAUGUGAAAUUGUUAAAAGGGAACCGUUUGGAGCCAGACUGGUUUGCCUGUAAUCAACCUAGAAUUCGUUUUGGGUGCACUGCAGGCUAUACCUGCCAACAACAGUUUGAUUUGGAGGAAAAAAUUAGUAGGAAUGUAGCCUCUCGAGGUGUUAUAGCCUACUAUCAUACUCUGGAUUGGACUGAGGAACGCAGCGAAUGCCUUUAGGCAAGAUUGCKGGGUGCUUUCGCUAAUAAAUGUUUAGAAUUUCUGCUUCGGGUGGUGCUAAUGUUUAAAGGAGGAACACA